rnacentral:rRNA from 1 species
UGGAUCCAGACUUUGAUCAUGGCUCAGGAUGAACGCUAGCUACAGGCUUAACACAUGCAAGUCGAGGGGCAGCGGGAUUGAAGCUUGCUUCAAUUGCCGGCGACCGGCGCACGGGUGAGUAACGCGUAUCCAACCUUCCGUACACUCAGGGAUAGCCUUUCGAAAGAAAGAUUAAUACCUGAUAGUAUCUUAAGCACACAUGUAAUUAAGAUUAAAGAUUUAUCGGUGUACGAUGGGGAUGCGUUCCAUUAGGUAGUAGGCGGGGUAACGGCCCACCUAGCCGACGAUGGAUAGGGGUUCUGAGAGGAAGGUCCCCCACAUUGGAACUGAAACACGGUCCAAACUCCUGCGGGAGGCAGCAGUGAGGAAUAUUGGUCAAUGGACGAGAGUCUGAACCAGCCAAGUAGCGUGAAGGAUGAAGGUCCUACGGAUUGUAAACUUCUUUUAUAAGGGAAUAAACCCUCCCACGUGUGGGAGCUUGUAUGUACCUUAUGAAUAAGCAUCGGCUAACUCCGUGCCAGCAGCCGCGGUAAUACGGAGGAUGCGAGCGUUAUCCGGAUUUAUUGGGUUUAAAGGGAGCGCAGACGGGUCGUUAAGUCAGCUGUGAAAGUUUGGGGCUCAACCUUAAAAUUGCAGUUGAUACUGGCGUCCUUGAGUGCGGUUGAGGUGUGCGGAAUUCGUGGUGUAGCGGUGAAAUGCUUAGAUAUCACGAAGAACUCCGAUUGCGAAGGCAGCACACUAAUCCGUAACUGACGUUCAUGCUCGAAAGUGUGGGUAUCAAACAGGAUUAGAUACCCUGGUAGUCCACACGGUAAACGAUGGAUACUCGCUGUUGGCGAUAUACUGUCAGCGGCUUAGCGAAAGCGUUAAGUAUCCCACCUGGGGAGUACGCCGGCAACGGUGCAACUCAAAGGAAUUGACGGA